rnacentral:rRNA from 1 species
GACGAACGCNGGCGGCGUGCUUAACACAUGCAAGUCGAACGAAGAGCGAUGGAAGCUUGCUUCUAUCAAUCUUAGUGGCGAACGGGUGAGUAACGCGUAAUCAACCUGCCCUUCAGAGGGGGACAACAGUUGGAAACGACUGCUAAUACCGCAUACGAUCUAAUCUCGGCAUCGAGGAUAGAUGAAAGGUGGCCUCUACAUGUAAGCUAUCACUGAAGGAGGGGAUUGCGUCUGAUUAGCUAGUUGGAGGGGUAACGGCCCACCAAGGCGAUGAUCAGUAGCCGGUCUGAGAGGAUGAACGGCCACAUUGGGACUGAGACACGGCCCAGACUCCUACGGGAGGCAGCAGUGGGGAAUCUUCCGCAAUGGACGAAAGUCUGACGGAGCAACGCCGCGUGAGUGAUGACGGCCUUCGGGUUGUAAAGCUCUGUUAAUCGGGACGAAAGGCCUUCUUGCGAAUAGNGAGAAGGAUGACG